rnacentral:rRNA from 1 species
AGUGUACGCUGGCGGUAGGCCUAACACAUGCAAGUCGAACGGCAGCACAGUAAGAGCUUGCUCUUACGGGUGGCGAGUGGCGGACGGGUGAGGAAUACAUCGGAAUCUACUUUUUCGUGGGGGAUAACGUAGGGAAACUUACGCUAAUACCGCAUACGACCUACGGGUGAAAGCAGGGGAUCUUCGGACCUUGCGCGAUUGAAUGAGCCGAUGUCGGAUUAGCUAGUUGGCGGGGUAAAGGCCCACCAAGGCGACGAUCCGUAGCUGGUCUGAGGGGAUGAUCAGCGACAGUGGAACUGAGACACGGUCCAGACUCCUACGGGAGGCAGCAGUGGGGAAUAUUGGACAAUGGGCGCAAGCCUGAUCCAGCCAUACCGCGUGGGUGAAGAAGGCCUUCGGGUUGUAAAGCCCUUUUGUUGGGAAAGAAAAGCAGCAGGUUAAUACCCCGCUGUUCUGACGGUACCCAAAGAAUAAGCACCGGCUAACUUCGUG